UACGGGGGGGGGCAAGCGUUGUUCGGAAUUACUGGGCGUAAAGGGCUCGUAGGCGGCCAACUAAGUCAGACGUGAAAUCCCUCGGCUUAACCGGGGAACGGCCUCUGAUACUGGCUGGCUGGAGUUCGGGAGAGGGAUGCGGAAUUCCAGGUGUAGCGGUGAAAUGCGUAGAUAUCUGGAGGAACACCGGUGGCGAAGGCGGCAUCCUGGACCGAUAUUGACGCUGAGGAGCGAAAGCCAGGGGAGCAAACGGG
rnacentral:rRNA from 1 species